CUCGGUCUGGUGCUCCAUGCAAGAUCUCACCUUGUGGAGUUUCAAAGAUCAUGAAAAUGGUGUGGAAUCAGCCCAGAACUACACUGGAUGAUCUUGUUAAUGAACUUAAGGCAGCUGGGACAUGUACAGGCCCGUCUAAAGUUUGCCAAUCAACAUCUGAAUGACUCAGAGGAGAACUAGGUGAAAGUGUUGUGGUCAAAUGAGACCAAAAUCAAGCUCUCUGGCAUCAACUCAACUCGCAGUGUUUGGAGGAGGAGGAAUGCUGCCUAUGACCCCAAGAACACCAUCCCCACCAUCAAACAUGCAGGUGGAAACAUUAUGCUUUGGGGGUGUUUUUCUGCUAAGGGGGCAGGACAACUGAUCCGCAUCAAAGGGACGAUGGACGGGGCCAUGUCCCAUCAAAUCUUGGGUGAGAACCUCCUUCCCUCAGCCAGGACAUUGAAAAUGUG